rnacentral:lncRNA from 1 species
AGGAAGAAAAAAGACAUGAAAUGUGAAGAGGAAUGCUGAAGAAAGAUGGAUCACAAAGAUUAGUGCUUGCUUGCAGAAUGUUAUUUCAGAAGUGACAAAAGGACAGGAUAGCAGGAUUAAUGAAGAGCUUAAUGAUCUCCUGCUGGGAUGAUGAGUCCAGGAAGUAGCUGCUGUAAAAGGAGAUUUUCUGGUACCAGCUGAGGAGCAUUUGUGGAGGAGCCAUGGAAGAUUAUGGUCUUUUCAGAGAGAGGAGGUGUAUGGACUGAUUCAGAUUUCUUCUGAAGGCAAGCAGUGACAAGGAAGUCAGAAGUUAAGGUAUCCUAGAUUUCUGUAUAACCAAGAGUUAUCUGUAACUUCCUGCCUCACCCCAGGACACUGGGACAGAAGAGUUAUUCAAAGCAGUAUGCCAGAGGUGACCUAGGGCCCACUGUGUCUCCUUCAGGUAGUGAUAUUCCCAGAUAUUCCUCAAACCAGGGUACAGAGUCUCCUACUGGUGGGAUCAUGGAUUUAUACCUAUCUGAUGGUUUUGGAUGUGACCAGCAGCUGCAAAUCUCAAGAAGAUAUAUGGUGCAUCUUUUGCAAAGAUCAGCAAACCCCUGGGGAAAACCCCUUUGAAGAGAGGAUGGCUACAGGAGGACUAAAAGAAGGCUUGAGGAGAGCUUCAAAGGAG